UACGUAGGGGGCAAGCGUUGUCCGGAUUUAUUGGGCGUAAAGAGCGUGUAGGCGGUCAGGUAGGUCCGUUGUGAAAACUCGAGGCUCAACCUCGAGACGCCGAUGGAAACCAUCUGACUAGAGUCCGGAAGAGGAGAGUGGAAUUCCUGGUGUAGCGGUGAAAUGCGCAGAUAUCAGGAGGAACACCAAUGGCGAAGGCAGCUCGCUGGAACGGUACUGACGCUGAGGCGCGAAAGCGUGGGUAGCAAACAGG
rnacentral:rRNA from 1 species